CCUCGUCUGCGGCAGCCGCCUGAGAGAGCAGCGCGGCCGUAGCCGGGGGCCGGAGAGCGCUGGUGGGUGCAGGUGGAUGAGUCGUGCAGGGCAACGGAGGAGAGCCCAGGGGAGCGCUGGAAGAAGGUGACAGCCCUGCGAUGCUGCGGUGCCUGCGAGGUGAUGCCGCCGUGCUCGUUGCUGCUUCCUGGUAAGGAAAGGCCUCCUCCGCUCCUGCUGCAGCGUGGUGGUGUGUCGGACACGAUUCCCUGUGUCGGGGUGCAGAAGAUAGCCGACUCCCCAGCUCACCAGAGCUCCCCCUCAGCCUCCCCUGGCCCCACUUGCCCCGUGCUCCUGCCCCCAGCUCCGGCACGAGCGAGCUAGGCUACGUGCCUAGGAAGCCUCAUCUCGUAAGAGCGGUAAG